UUAAGCGACUAAGCGUACACGGUGGAUGCCCUGGCAGUCAGAGGCGAUGAAGGGCGUGCUAAUCUGCGAUAAGCGCCGGUAAGGUGAUAUGAACCGUUAUAACCGGCGAUACCCGAAUGGGGAAACCCAGUGUGAUUCGUCACACUAUCAUUAACUGAAUCCAUAGGUUAAUGAGGCGAACCGGGGGAACUGAAACAUCUAAGUACCCCGAGGAAAAGAAAUCAACCGAGAUUCCCCCAGUAGCGGCGAGCGAACGGGGAGGAGCCCAGAGCCUGAAUCAGCAUGUGUGUUAGUGGAAGCGUCUGGAAAGGCGCGCGAUACAGGGUGACAGCCCCGUACACAAAAGCGCAUGUGCUGUGAGCUCGAUGAGUAGGGCGGGACACGUGGUAUCCUGUCUGAAUAUGGGGGGACCAUCCUCCAAGGCUAAAUACUCCUGACUGACCGAUAGUGAACCAGUACCGUGAGGGAAAGGCGAAAAGAACCCCGGCGAGGGGAGUGAAAAAGAACCUGAAACCGUGUACGUACAAGCAGUGGGAGCACNAGGGAAACCGAGUCUUAACCGGGCGUUAAGUUGCAGGGUAUAGACCCGAAACCCGGUGAUCUAGCCAUGGGCAGGUUGAAGGUUGGGUAACACUAACUGGAGGACCGAACCGACUAAUGUUGAAAAAUUAGCGGAUGACCUGUGGCUGGGGGUGAAAGGCCAAUCAAACCGGGAGAUAGCUGGUUCUCCCCGAAAGCUAUUUAGGUAGCGCCUCGUGAAUUCAUCUCCGGGGGUAGAGCACUGUUUCGGCUAGGGGGCCAUCCCGGCUUACCAACCCGAUGCAAACUGCGAAUACCGGAGAAUGUUAUCACGGGAGACACACGGCGGGUGCUAACGUCCGUCGUGAAGAGGGAAACAACCCAGACCGCCAGCUAAGGUCCCAAAGUCAUGGUUAAGUGGGAAACGAUGUGGGAAGGCCCAGACAGCCAGGAUGUUGGCUUAGAAGCAGCCAUCAUUUAAAGAAAGCGUAAUAGCUCACUGGUCGAGUCGGCCUGCGCGGAAGAUGUAACGGGGCUAAACCAUGCACCGAAGCUGCGGCAGCGACGCUGAUGCGUUGUUGGGUAGGGGAGCGUUCUGUAAGCCUGCGAAGGUGACCUGUGAGGGUUGCUGGAGGUAUCAGAAGUGCGAAUGCUGACAUAAGUAACGAUAAAGCGGGUGAAACCCCCGCUCGCCGGAAGACCAAGGGUUCCUGUCCAACGUUAAUCGGGGCAGGGUGAGUCGACCCCUAAGGCGAGGCCGAAAGGCGUAGUCGAUGGGAAACGGGUUAAUAUUCCCGUACUUGGUGUUACUGCGAAGGGGGGACGGAGAAGGCUAUGUUGGCCGGGCGACGGUUGUCCCGGUUUAAGCGUGUAGGUGUGUGUUCCAGGUAAAUCCGGUUCACUUUAACACUGAGGCGUGACGACGAGGCACUACGGUGCUGAAGCAGCAAAUGCCCUGCUUCCAGGAAAAGCCUCUAAGCAUCAGGUAACACGAAAUCGUACCCCAAACCGACACAGGUGGUCAGGUAGAGAAUACCAAGGCGCUUGAGAGAACUCGGGUGAAGGAACUAGGCAAAAUGGUGCCGUAACUUCGGGAGAAGGCACGCUGACACGUAGGUGAAGUGAUUUACUCAUGGAGCUGAAGUCAGUCGAAGAUACCAGCUGGCUGCAACUGUUUAUUAAAAACACAGCACUGUGCAAACACGAAAGUGGACGUAUACGGUGUGACGCCUGCCCGGUGCCGGAAGGUUAAUUGAUGGGGUCAGCGCAAGCGAAGCUCCUGAUCGAAGCCCCGGUAAACGGCGGCCGUAACUAUAACGGUCCUAAGGUAGCGAAAUUCCUUGUCGGGUAAGUUCCGACCUGCACGAAUGGCGUAAUGAUGGCCAGGCUGUCUCCACCCGAGACUCAGUGAAAUUGAACUCGCUGUGAAGAUGCAGUGUACCCGCGGCAAGACGGAAAGACCCCGUGAACCUUUACUAUAGCUUGACACUGAACAUUGAGCCUUGAUGUGUAGGAUAGGUGGGAGGCUUUGAAGUGUGGACGCCAGUCUGCAUGGAGCCGACCUUGAAAUACCACCCUUUAAUGUUUGAUGUUCUAACGUGGACCCGUAAUCCGGGUUGCGGACAGUGUCUGGUGGGUAGUUUGACUGGGCGGUCUCCUCCUAAAGAGUAACGGAGGAGCACGAAGGUUGGCUAAUCCUGGUCGGACAUCAGGAGGUUAGUGCAAUGGCAUAAGCCAGCUUGACUGCGAGCGUGACGGCGCGAGCAGGUGCGAAAGCAGGUCAUAGUGAUCCGGUGGUUCUGAAUGGAAGGGCCAUCGCUCAACGGAUAAAAGGUACUCCGGGGAUAACAGGCUGAUACCGCCCAAGAGUUCAUAUCGACGGCGGUGUUUGGCACCUCGAUGUCGGCUCAUCACAUCCUGGGGCUGAAGUAGGUCCCAAGGGUAUGGCUGUUCGCCAUUUAAAGUGGUACGCGAGCUGGGUUUAGAACGUCGUGAGACAGUUCGGUCCCUAUCUGCCGUGGGCGCUGGAGAACUGAGGGGGGCUGCUCCUAGUACGAGAGGACCGGAGUGGACGCAUCACUGGUGUUCGGGUUGUCAUGCCAAUGGCACUGCCCGGUAGCUAAAUGCGGAAGAGAUAAGUGCUGAAAGCAUCUAAGCACGAAACUUGCCCCGAGAUGAGUUCUCCCUGAGACUUAGAGUCUCCUGAAGGAACGUUGAAGACGACGACGUUGAUAGGCCGGGUGUGUAAGCGCAGCGAUGCGUUGAGCUAACCGGUACUAAUGAACCGUGAGGCUUAACCUU
rnacentral:rRNA from 1 species